rnacentral:ncRNA from 2 species
ACUGUAAUGCAGGGGAACUCGCAUGUGGUUCGCGAGUUGAGAAAGGCCUGAGCCUGACCCUUAGAACCUGUUGGUUAAGACCAUCGUAGGGAGCAGUAAAUGAGCAAUA